CCUACGGGAGGCAGCAGUGAGGAAUAUUGGUCAAUGGGCGCGAGCCUGAACCAGCCAAGUAGCGUGAAGGAUGACUGCCCUACGGGUUGUAAACUUCUUUUAUAAAGGAAUAAAGUGAUGCACGUGUGCCUUUUUUUAUUUACUUUAUGAAUAAGAAUCGGCUACCGCGGUCCCAGCAGCCCCGGUAAUAAGGAGUAUCCGGGCGUUAUACGUAUUUAUUGGGUUUAAAGGGAGCGUAGAUGGGUUGUUAAGUCAGUUGUGAAAGUUUGCGGCUCAACCGUAAAAUUGCAAGUGAUACUGGCAGUCUUGAGUACAGUGGAGGUAGGCGGAAUUCGUGGUGUAGCGGUGAAAUGCUUAGAUAUCACGAAGAACUCCGAUUGCGAAGGCAGCUUACUAAACUGCCACUGACAUUGAUGCUCGAAAGUGUGGGUAUCAAACAGGAUUAGAUACCCCAGUAGUC
rnacentral:rRNA from 1 species